rnacentral:misc_RNA from 1 species
GAUGAAGAACGUAGUGAAAUGCGAUACUUGGUGUGAAUUGCAGAAUCCCGUGAACCAUCGAGUCUUUGAACGCAAGUUGCGCCUCAAGCCAUUAGGUUGAGGGCACGUCUGCCUGGGCGUCACAUAUCGUUGCCUGAUGCCAGUUUCCUCGUGAUGGGUGACUGUGCAGGGCGAAUGAUGGCUUCCCGUGAGCAUUGUUGCCUCAUGGUUGGUUGAAAAUUGAGUCCUUGGUAGGGAGCGCCGUGAUAGAUGGUGGUUGAGUGACGAACGAGACCCAAUCAUGUGAGACCCCUACCGAAUUUGGCCUUCAUGACCCACAUGCGUCUUUGGAACGCUCAUGACGAGACCUCAGGUCAGGCGAGGCUACCCGCUGAGUUUAAGCAUAUCAAUAAGCGGAGGA